AUUGAACGCUGGCGGCAGGCCUAACACAUGCAAGUCGAACGCGUGGCGCACGGGUGAGUAAUGUCUGGGAAACUGCCCGUUGGAGGGGGAUAACUCCUGGAAACGGUAGCUCAUACCGCAUACCAUCGGAUGUGCCCCCAUGGGAUUAGCUUGUAGGUGAGGUAACGGCUCACCUAGGCGACGAGCCCUAGCUGGUCUGAGAGGAUGACCAGCCACACUGGAACUGAGACACGGUCCAGACUCCUACGGGAGGCAGCAGUGGGGAAUAUUGCACAAUGGGCGCAAGCCUGAUGCAGCCAUGCCGCGUGUGUGAAGAAGGUCUUCGGAUUGUAAAGCACUUUAAGUGGGGAGGCGUUACCAACAGAAGAAGCACCGGCUAACUCCGUGCCAGCAGCCGCGGUAAUAC
rnacentral:rRNA from 1 species